rnacentral:rRNA from 1 species
AAUCAACGCUGGCGGCGUGCCUCAGACAUGCAAGUCGAACGAUUAAGACUCUCUUCGGAGAGUGCAUAAAGUGGCGCACGGGUGAGUAACACGUAAGUAAUCUACCCUCGAGUGGGGAAUAACGUCCGGAAACGGACGCUAAUACCGCAUAAUGCAGCGGCACCGCAGGGUGACAGUUGUUAAAGAUUUAUCGCUUGGGGAGGAGCUUGCGGCAGAUUAGCAGUUGGUAAGGUAAUGGCUUACCAAGGCUACGAUCUGUAACCGGUCUAAGAGGACGGUCGGUCACACUGACACUGAAUAACGGGUCAGACUCCUACGGGAGGCAGCAGUCGGGAAUUUUGGGCAAUGGGCGAAAGCCUGACCCAGCAACGCCGCGUGAAGGAUGAAGUAUUUCGGUAUGUAAACUUCGAAAGAAUGGGAAGAAUUAAUGACGGUACCAUUUAUAAGGUCCGGCUAACUACGUGACAGCCGCCGCCGUAAC